rnacentral:lncRNA from 1 species
CGCUUGAAAUUUUCAAUAUCAUACGAUCAAUAGCGUAAUUCAUAUAGAACAUUAUCUACAAUUUGAUACAAAAAUAUAUCUAAUAGUUCAAAAUACAAAAUAAUUAUAUGAAAUACGGUAUUAUAAUAUGAAGAAAAAUAAUUUAUGAGUUGAAUAUUUAAUCUUUUCAACGCCGUAUGUCUUUACUUCCGCCUUCAAUCUUCAUAUUAUUCUUUUUCAUCUAUGCGGUCAAAAAUAAAUAAAUUAUAUAGCCAAAUAAUGGAUUACACUAUCCAAUCAUAUAUAACUAAAAUCAAAAUUUUAUAUAAACAGUAUUUUUAUCUGAAAAAUAUUCUAUAUAUUUUCUCAAGCACACAACUAAUGGCAAGGUAGGCAAUCGCAGGCAUGUGCUGUUACUUCGUAACUUGGAAGGCUUCAGGCUUGACCGCUUGGUGAGAGAGAGAGAGAGAGAGAUUAGAGAUUUAGGGCUCUGUGAAAAAAAAAAGAGUGAGAGAGUGUAAAUUUAGUGAAAUUUUACCUUUUUGUUGGCAUAUUGAGUUUGUUUUUAUGGGCCGACAAUAUUGGCCCAAUUUUAACUAAAUUCAAGUUAUUCACUCAGCCUACAUAUAAUUAAAAUAUUAUAUAUAUAGAGAGAGAGAGAGAGUGAGAGAGAGAGAGAGAAAGAGACUCCGGCUACUAUACUAUUAUGAGUACGAUCGCCUUCGUACUCAUAAGUUGUUUUUGAUGAUAGAGCUUCCGAAUCAACGAUUCACACCGUUAAACGUUAUCUAGAACAUUUGAAACAUUUAGAAAUCAAAUUUCAUAAUUUUUCGACAUCAUUUACCUUACGAUCGAAAGCUCAUAAAAUUGAUAAUUUUUAACAGCCGGUAUGGAAUAUUUGCUAGUUUAACGGUGCAAAAAAAUCCGAAUAGGUUGAAUUUUUGAUAAAAAAUUCUAUUCACUACCUAGAUAAAGAUCAAUAACUCCGAUCUUAAAUUGAAGGAUCCGAUCAUCCAUUUUUAAGACAUCGUUCGAUUUUGACCGUUUAUUUAUUCCCGCUUGAUGGACUUUAUUAUGAUUUCGAAAAAUUACGAAAUUUAUUUUCUAGAAGUUUCAAAUACUCUAAAUCAUAUUUAACGGAGUGGAUUGUCGAUUUGGAAGCUCUAUCAUCGAAAACAACUUAUGAGUACGAGGGCUCCAAUACUCAUAAGAGUAUAGUAGCCCCAGUCUAUAUAUAUAUAAAGUUGAGCUGGAAUACUAUCGGUAGCAAACGGACUCCGUUGCCACCCAUUUGUUUUCGAUGAUGGAGCUUUCAAAUCGACGAUCGGCACCGUUGAACAUGAUCUAUAUCACUUGAAGUAUCUAGAAAUCAAAUUUCAAAUCUUUUCGACAUCAUUUACCUAAUGAUCAAAGGGUUUCAAAAUUAGUAAUUUUAACGGUUGAUAUGAGGGGUUUUCUCGUUUAACGGUGUAAAACUAUCCAAAUCAAUUGAAUUUUGAUUAGAAAAUUCUUUAAACUAUUUAGAAAAAGAUUUAUACUCUUGAUCAUGAUUACAUAAUUUAUAUCAUCACUUUUUAGAGGAUAUUCAUUUUCAGCCAUUCAUUUUUUACGCCCACUUGAUGGACAAGAAAACAAUAUCGAAAAAGUAUGAAAUUUGAUUUCUAGAUACUUCAAGUGGUAUAGAUCAUGUUCAAUGGUGCCGAUCGUCAAUUUAAAGGUCCCAUCAUCGAAAACAAAUGAGUGGCAACGGAGCCGGUUUGCUACCGAUAGCAUUCCAGCUCAACUAUAUAUAUAUA